ACGUACACUCCACGGGAGGCAGCAGUGGGGAAUUUUGGACAAUGGGCGAAAGCCUGAUCCAGCAAUGCCGCGUGAGUGAAGAAGGCCUUCGGGUUGCAAAGCUCUUUUGUCAGGGAAGAAACGGUGAAAGCUAAUAUCUUUUGCUAAUGACGGUACCUGAAGAAUAAGCACCGGCUAACUACGUGCCAGCAGCCGCGGUAAUACGGAGGGUGCAAGCGUUAAUCGGAAUUACUGGGCGUAAAGCGUGCGCAGGCGGUUUUGUAAGUCUGAUGUGAAAUCCCCGGGCUCAACCUGGGAAUUGCAUUGGAUACUGCAAGGCUAGAAUCUGGCAGAGGGGGGUAGAAUUCCACGUGUAGCAGUGAAAUGCGUAGAUAUGUUGAGGAACACCGAUGGCGAAGGCAGCCCCCUGGGUCAAGAUUGACGCUCAUGCACGAAAGCGUGGGGAGCAAACAGGAUUAGAUACCCCAGUAGUCCCAUG
rnacentral:rRNA from 1 species